rnacentral:rRNA from 1 species
UGCGUAGGCGGCCUGACAAGUCAGAGGUGAAAGGCUACGGCUUAACCGUAGUAAGCCUUUGGAACUGACAGGCUUGAGUGCAGGAGAGGAAAGUGGAAUUCCUAGUGUAGCGGUGAAAUGCGUAGAUAUUAGGAGGAACACCAGUGGCGAAGGCGACUUUCUGGACUGUAACUGACGCUGAGGCACGAAAGCGUGGGGAGCGAACAGGAUUAGAUACCCUGGUAGUCC